rnacentral:rRNA from 1 species
UACGAACCGUCCAAACGUUAUUCGGAAUUACUGGGCUUAAAGGGUCCGUAGGCGGCGCUGUUAGUCGGGUGUGAAAGCCCACGGCUCAACCGUGGAAUUGCGCCCGAUACUGCAGUGCUUGAGGGAGACAGAGGUAAGCGGAACUGAUGGUGGAGCGGUGAAAUGCGUUGAUAUCAUCAGGAACACCGGUGGCGAAAGCGGCUUACUGGGUCUCUUCUGACGCUGAGGUACGAAAGCUAGGGGAGCGAACGGG